UACGAAGGGGGGCUAGCGUUGUUCGGAAUUACUGGGCUUAAAGGGUUUGUAGGCGGCCUUGUAAGUCAGGUGUGAAAUCCCUCGGCUCAACCGAGGAAUGGCGCUUGAUACUGCAAGGCUUGAGGGAGACAGGGGUAAGCGGAACUGAUGGUGGAGCGGUGAAAUGCGUUGAUAUCAUCAGGAACACCGGUGGCGAAGGCGGCUCUCUGGGCCGGUACUGACGCUGAGACGCGAAAGCGUGGGGAGCAAACAGG
rnacentral:rRNA from 1 species